rnacentral:rRNA from 1 species
UACAAGGGGGGCAAGCGUUGUUCGGAAUUACUGGGCGUAAAGGGCUCGUAGGUGGCCAACUAAGUCAGACGUGAAAUCCCUCAGCUUAACUGGGGAACUGCGUCUGAUACUGGAUGGCUUGAGUUUGGGAGAGGGAUGCGGAAUUCCAGGUGUAGCGGUGAAAUGCGUAGAUAUCUGGAGGAACACCGGUGGCGAAGGCGGCAUCCUGGACCAACACUGACACUGAGGAGCGAAAGCCAGGGGAGCAAACGGG